rnacentral:rRNA from 1 species
UACGUAGGGUGCAAGCGUUAAUCGGAAUUACUGGGCGUAAAGCGUGCGCAGGCGGUUAUGCAAGACAGAUGUGAAAUCCCCGGGCUCAACCUGGGAACUGUAUUUGUGACUGCAUGGCUAGAGUACGGUAGAGGGGGAUGGAAUUCCGCGUGUAGCAGUGAAAUGCGUAGAUAUGCGGAGGAACACCGAUGGCGAAGGCAAUCCCCUGGACCUGUACUGACGCUCAUGCACGAAAGCGUGGGGAGCAAACAGG